rnacentral:rRNA from 1 species
UACGGAGGAUCCAAGCGUUAUCCGGAUUUAUUGGGUUUAAAGGGUGCGUAGGCGGCCUAUUAAGUCAGGGGUGAAAGACGGUAGCUUAACUAUCGCAGUGCCUUUGAUACUAAUGGGCUUGAAUGUACUUGAGGUAGGCGGAAUGUGACAAGUAGCGGUGAAAUGCAUAGAUAUGUCACAGAACACCAAUUGCGAAGGCAGCUUACUAAAGUAUGAUUGACGCUGAGGCACGAAAGCGUGGGGAUCAAACAGG